UACGAAGGGGGCUAGCGUUGUUCGGUAUUACUGGGCGUAAAGCGCGUGUAGGCGGCUCGGAAAGUCGGGUGUGAAAGCCCUGGGCUCAACCUAGGAAGUGCACUCGAAACUUCCGAGCUGGAGUUCUGGAGAGGAAGGCGGAAUUCUCGGUGUAGAGGUGAAAUUCGUAGAUAUCGAGAGGAACACCGGUGGCGAAGGCGGCCUUCUGGACAGCAACUGACGCUGAGACGCGAAAGCGUGGGGAGCAAACGGG
rnacentral:rRNA from 1 species